AGUGAACGCGGCGGCGUGCCUAAUACAUGCAAGUCGAACGGAAUUUAAAAGAGCUUGCUCUUUUAAAUUUAGUGGCGCACGGGUGAGUAAUAUAUAGCUAAUCUGCCCCUUGCUGGAGGACAACAGUUAGAAAUGACUGCUAAUACUCCAUACUCCUUUUUACCAUAAGAUAAAUCGGGAAAGAAUUUCGGCAAGGGAUGAGACUAUAUCGUAUCAGCUAGUCGGUCUGGUAACGGCCUACCGAGGCUAUGACGCGUAACUGGUCUGAGAGGAUGAUCAGUCACAUUGGAACUGAGACACGGUCCAAACUCCUACGGGAGGCAGCAGUAGGGAAUAUUGCGCAAUGGGGGAAACCCUGACGCAGCAACGCCGCGUGGAGGAUGACACUUUUCGGAGCGUAAACUCCUUUUGUUAGGGAAGAAUAAUGACGUACCUAACGAUAAG
rnacentral:rRNA from 1 species